rnacentral:rRNA from 1 species
CAGUCGCCGCGGGAAUACGUAGGUGGCAAGCGUUAUCCGGAAUUAUUGGGCGUAAAGCGCGCGUAGGCGGGUUUUUAAGUCUGAUGUGAAAGCCCACGGCUCAACCGUGGAGGGUCAUUGGAAACUGGAAAACUUGAGUGCAGAAGAGGAAAGUGGAAUUCCAUGUGUAGCGGUGAAAUGCGCAGAGAUAUGGAGGAACACCAGUGGCGAAGGCGACUUUCUGGUCUGUAACUGACGCUGAUGUGCGAAAGCGUGGGGAUCAAACAGGAUUAGAUACCCCCGUAGUCCCUGUCUCUUAUAC